UUUAACUGAAGAGUUUGAUCAUGGCUCAGAUUGAACGCUGGCGGCAGGCUUAACACAUGCAAGUCGAGCGGGGGGAGGUAGCUUGCUACCUAACCUAGCGGCGGACGGGUGAGUAAUGCUUAGGAAUCUGCCUAUUAGUGGGGGACAACAUUUCGAAAGGGAUGCUAAUACCGC
rnacentral:rRNA from 1 species